UACGUAGGGUGCGAGCGUUAAUCGGAAUUACUGGGCGUAAAGCGUGCGAAGGCGGCUUUGCAAGACAGAUGUGAAAUCCCCGGGCUCAACCUGGGAACUGCAUUUGUGACUGCAAGGCUAGAGUACGGCAGAGGGGGAUGGAAUUCCGCGUGUAGCAGUGAAAUGCGUAGAUAUGCGGAGGAACACCAAUGGCGAAGGCAAUCCCCUGGGCCUGUACUGACGCUCAUGCACGAAAGCGUGGGGAGCAAACAGG
rnacentral:rRNA from 1 species